AUCUGUUAAGUCCAUUUGUUCCCCCUUGGGAGGCUAAGUCAGGAGAAUUGCUUGAACCUGGGAGGCAGAGGUUGCAGUGGGCUGAGAUUACGCCACUACGCUCCAGCCUGGGUGACAGGGUGAAACUCCAUCUCAAAAAAAAAAAAAAAAAAAAAUUGGAGGUGGGGCCUUUGGGAGGUAAUUAGAAUAAGAGUCCGUCAUAAAGGUAGGGGCUUCAUGAUGGAAUUAAUGCUCCUAUAAAAAGUGGAAGACCCAGGAAAAUGAUCUCUAUCUCCUUUUUUCUGUCUUGCCACCCCCUCCCAACCCUCCACCAUGUGCAGAUACAGCAAGAAAGCAGGCAUCUGCAAGAAAGCCCUCACCAGGACUAAAUCAGCUGACACCUCCACCUUGGACUUCCCAGCUUCCAGAACUGUGAGAUAUAGAUUUCUAUUGCUUAAGUCACCAAGGCUAUGGUGUUUUUAAUAGCAGCCCAAGCCCAGGAAUACAUCAUCUGACUCACUGCUUUGAAUGAAGCUCUUCAGUUUCUCCAUCAACUUAGCUGGCAGCUCCUGUCCCCAGCAGCAUCAGAAGCCCCAACAAAAGAGCUCCAGGAGGGGCUCAACCUGCACAGGGGGCAGCCUCAAUGUCAGGUCCUGGAUGGCAGGGGCAGUCUGAUGGAAUGCGCGCUGUCCAGGUUCCUGCCCUCUCUGGAAGCUUGAUAAUGAGGAACCCUGAUGUGUCACUACGGAGGAGGCUGUGGGAAAAAGCUGUUUCUCAGGGCUGCCUGGAUCACAAGCUGGAGCUGGAGGACGUGCCUGGCAGGGGAGUGACCCCCAUGGGAAAGAGCAGGGUUCAGCAGAGUGACAGCAGCCGGGACCCAGAGAAGCCAGUGAGGUUUGACUCUUAGAAGCCAAAGACCAGCAGCUCUUCAGCAGAAGAUUUGGGCCCUGGGCUGGCACUGUCCUGCAGCAGGGGCAGGGUGGACAGGAAUGGCUGCAUAUCAGGCCUAAUUCCUUGUCAUCCUCUCAGGCAUUGCCACUGAAGAUGGAGAAUUUUGUUCAGAGGCCCAGCCUGGGCACAUGGGAGGAACCACCUUAUUAAAAUUAAUUUAAGAAAACAGUAUGCAUGCUUUAUUCUUCUCAAAUAAUUAUUAAUGUCAUGUUUUACAGUGUAUCUCUUAAAGGAGUGGUGAGAAUCAUCUACAUAAAGUGUGUUUUAGGUGGUCUUUUCUAUAAUUGCAGCUUUCACAUGUUCUUAGAGAAACCGUUUUCUUUGGGGACACACAGGCAGUAUCUCUGUGUUCAUUUCUACUGGGAAAUCUUUAUGCAGGGUGGAGAGAGUCACAUUUACUAAUGAGAGAUGGAAAGCAUCUAACUACCAGAAAAAGUGUCCAAAUGCUGCUGGUAUGAUCUUGGGGCUGCAGGUAGAGGUCAGUUUAAGGAGGUAUCAGGGAAAGUAAUUUUUAAAGCCCCCACCCCUUUUUUUUACACAAUCAUGGGCAGAAGCCACCACCUGGACCCACCACAUGUUGGAAUGCAUGAGGGACAUAAAUAGAGGUCAGUAAAUUUAGAAUGAAAUCCAAGAGUGGGCAAGAGGUUUGAGAGGUCGACAGGUGUGAGAGGUGAAUGUGUGAAUGGUGAGAAUGUUCAAAACAUCUUCUUUCUCCAUAAUAAGAGAGCAUUUAGACCCCUGAGUCAGACAGUGUCCAGGCCAGGGGGAGCAGGAUGUUGUCAGCUCUCCUUGCCAAAAGUGAGACUCCAGCAAUGUCCAGUUACUUGGUCCAGUUUGGGAUUUAUUCCUAUUUUAAAAAUGGUCCAACAGUAUACAAUUUUGAAAAUAUGCAAAAAUCCCUAUGCUACCAUUCAUAGAUAGCCAAGAUGGCCCUAAGAUAGUGAGAGAAUCAGAAUGGGGUUUGGGUUUACGU
rnacentral:lncRNA from 1 species